AACGAACGCUGGCGGCAGGCUUAACACAUGCAAGUCGAACGGUGUAGCAAUACACAGUGGCAGACGGGUGAGGAACACGUGGGAACAUCCCUUUCGGUUCGGAAUAACGUUGGGAAACUAACGCUAAUACCGGAUACGUCCUUCGGGAGAAAGAUUUAUUGCCGAGAGAUUGGCCCGCGUCUGAUUAGCUAGUUGGUGAGGUAACGGCUCACCAAGGCUACGAUCAGUAGCUGAUCUGAGAGGAUGAUCAGCCACAUUGGGACUGAGACACGGCCCAAACUCCUACGGGAGGCAGCAGUGGGGAAUAUUGGACAAUGGGCGCAAGCCUGAUCCAGCCAUGCCGCGUGAGUGAUGAAGGCCUUCGGGUUGUAAAGCUCUUUUAUCCGGGAAGAUAAUGACUGUACCGGAAGAAUAAGCCCCGGCAAACUUCGUGCCAGCAGCCGCCGUAAAAC
rnacentral:rRNA from 1 species